AUGUUCAUUUACAUGCUGUGUGUGCACGGCCGCCUGCCUUGUUGAAUGGUAGUUUCACACUGGGACCUGUAGGAAAAACGUAGCGAUUUGAGGCUGAAUGUCAGGCCUGACAUGUUGUGAGUGAUCACCAUCUGUCAGAAAAAGGAUGGCAUGCUCCUGGUCUGGGCUGAAGGUAAAUGCUGAUAUGUAUGAUUUUCACCCUAUGAGAAAUAUGUCCUGUUCAUUUGUACAGUUUCUGUCGACAAGAUAAUAUGAAAUCAUAUUGGUGCAACCCCAAUUCAUUGUAUUAUAUAAGACUGGUGCAGAACCCUAAUACUGUACAUUUGAUUAUAGGAUCAAACGCUUUAACAAUUGGACAUUAGACACAAUGUUCCUGUUAUUUAAAUCACGCUGUUUAUUUGGUUGUAUUCUCACCCUGUACAGUGUUAAAUAACAAUUAUGAGGUUCACUUUUUGUCCUUUAGCAUAUGCAAGCUCAACAAAGCCCACUGUACGGAACCAGCUCUGUUUCUCUGCUGCUUCUGGGUCUGAAUAAAACCACAAAGAGCAAUAUACCCGUGAUAGAUGGGGCCCGGAUUGUUUUGGAACUUCUCUUCAAAGGCUAACUGCUCGGUGCCGCAGAGCCUGCUGCAGACCAUGUUGCUCUCCAGGAUGGCUGGGAUGAAGGAGCAGCAAUUUACUGAGGAGAAACCCCUACUGCAAGAACAAAGAGGACAAGACACUGAGAUGGAGAACUGUGAGACCCUGAUGCCCAUUGGAGACUGGAAGGUACUUAAACUGUUUUCUAUAUUUUCAAAGUACCGUACUCUCUUUCUCUCUCUAUCCUUCUCUGGUUGUUGUUAUUACUGUCCAUCACAGGCUGCUGAGGGGGAAACGGCUCAUAAUAAUGACCAGAACGCAGUAAAUAAAAUGGCAUCAGACACCUGGAAACCAUGUGUUUAA
rnacentral:lncRNA from 13 species